rnacentral:rRNA from 1 species
AUGUGUAUUCGCCAAGGAGAAGAGCCUAUGGCAAAGCAUUUGUGCUCCUUCUUGGUCCAUGCGUGUGUGUGUGUGUGUGUGAUUGAGUCUCUCCCAUGUGUGUGUGUUCUAGAGAGAUGGAGAGAGAAACCACAAGAGAGUAGUGUAAGCUGUGAGACGCAGCUCAAGAUAGAAGAAGAGCGGCGCUGCGAGGAGGAGCGGCCCCAACAUACCAGGCCGGCCUGGAACCGCCCGGCGGAGCGUGGCAGAGCAGCAGCAAUGGGUGUGAAGCGGGCAACCCGGUCAUGCACGACAAACAGGAGGCCCCGGUACCUCGCCUUCUUCUACAGCAACUCCACUUCCUUCAUGGCUUCCAUCGUCAUCAUCAUCAUGCUGCUACCGCAAUGGCUGCCAAAAAAGGAGAAAGGGGAAUGGGAAAAAUGGUCACUGAGGGUGAUGAACAGGACGAUCAUACUGGAUUUGAUCGCUCUCCUAGUGGCCUAUACAGCUGGCUCCAACAGGGGGUGGAAGACGUCCGUGUAUGCGAUCGUGCUCAUCGUUGCCGUGCUGGGCUACUUUGUGAUCCAUAUGACGCUGUCAAGGAAACCCAAUCAGAGUGAUUCAUCAUCAUCAGUCUAG